rnacentral:rRNA from 1 species
UACGUAGGGGGCAAGCGUUGUCCGGAAUUAUUGGGCGUAAAGCGCGCGCAGGCGGCUUUGUAAGUCUAGUGUUUAAUCUCGGAGCUCAACUCCGAUUCGCACCGGAAACUGCAAGGCUUGAGUACAGAAGAGGAAAGUGGAAUUCCACGUGUAGCGGUGAAAUGCGUAGAGAUGCGGAGGAACACCGAUGGCGAAGGCAGCCCCCUGGGCUAACACCUGACGCUCAGGCACGAAAGCGUGGGGAGCAAACAGG